AUGCAAGAGAAAUAUGUUUCCAUGUGGAAUUUGAUAGCAUUUAUGAAGUCAAGGGUGUUGCUCAAUGGUUGUGAUGAUCAUGAUGAUCUUGGAAGCUUUAAAAGGCUGUUCGAACUUGUUCAAACCAUAUCCGGGUCACCAUUUUUUCCAACUAACCGGUCCAAUCAAACGGAUUUCACCGGUUUAGAAACAAUUUUCGAUCUCCCAACACUGCUACCAGGUUAA